rnacentral:lncRNA from 1 species
CCUCAAAAACGAGGAAGCCUCCAUCACACGACCUGGCGGAACCUGAGAAUUGGCAUGAGAAUCGCCUGCCCCGUGGGUACGUGUCGCAGGGUUCCACUCGUUCUUGAAAUCAUACGUUCUUGAAAUCACACAAGGAGGCCAAGGUCGGGGGGUGGUAUGGAAGGACAUGGGGGUCUGGGCGUGGAUGGGACCCGUGUCUGUGGCCUCAGUGUCAGGCCCUGGCUGGGAUCCCUACUAUAGCUGUGCAAGAUGCCCAGCUGUUGCCAGUAGGGUCUAUUUCAAAAGGGCUGGGAGAUCCCCUAUUUUCAACACUCUCAAGCCCUCCGGGGCAGUGCCAUGGCCUUCUCGGGUACUUUGUCUGCAGGAAUGAAAUGCAACCCUUCAGGCCGCUGGGGCCUGGGG